rnacentral:rRNA from 1 species
AUUGAACGCUGGCGGCACGCUUUACUACAUGCAAGUCGAGCGGCAGCGCGGGGGCGAACCCUGGCGGCGAGCGGCGAACGGGUGAGUAAUGCAUCGGAACGUACCCUGGAGUGGGGGAUAACGCCGCGAAAGCGGCGCUAAUACCGCAUAUGCUCUGAGGAGGAAAGUGGGGGACCGCAAGGCCUCACGCUCUGGGAGCGGCCGAUGUCCGAUUAGCUAGUUGGUGAGGUAAAGGCUUACCAAGGCGACGAUCGGUAGCUGGUCUGAGAGGAUGAUCAGCCACACUGGGACUGAGACACGGCCCAGACUCCUACGGGAGGCAGCAGGUGGGGUAAUUUUGGACAAUGGGGGCAACCCUGAUCCAGCCAUGCCGCGUGAGUGAAGAAGGCCUU